rnacentral:lncRNA from 1 species
GAGAUAAUUGUUUUAUAUGUAGCUGUAGAUAUAUUGUGUCUGUUGAGGGAAAGGAUUUCAGAAGUUUUUAUGUGACUAUUUUGAAUGAUCUCCCUGUUUGCCUGUGUUCUUUUUUUUUUUUUUUUUAGAUUUUAUUUAUUUAGUCGUGAGAGAGGCAGACACACAGGCAGAGGGAGAAGCAGGCUCCAAGCAGGGAGCCCAACAAGGGACUUGAUCCCAGGACCUCGACCCAGGCCACCUGCGUCUUCUUGAAUGGCAUUUUUAGUAAGCAAAGAAUGCUAGUAGUGCUAAGUUGCCAGUGGAAACUGCCCAUGGGCCACAUGAGAGACCACGGAUCCUGUAAUGCUGGGAGGCAUAAAGCUGGCACAGAAGUGCUGCAGAGAGGCUGUCACCAGUUAGAGGGAAGGAGCCAGAGAAGCAAGAGGUGUGGCAACAGCCAAGGGUCUUCAAAGGUAGAUGGACUGUGCACUCCCUUCCUGAAUGGGAGACCAGCAGAGAGACCUUGGGGGCACGCCCUGCCCAGCCCUGCCCAGCCUCGCCCAGGCUCCAGCCGGAGGCUCCGCCCCCCCAGGCCAUGGCCUUCCACUUACUCACGUGACCAUGCCACAGGCAUGCAGAGAGGCAGGCUGAGCUCUGCCAGGCCAGCAGGGUCCGUGCCAGGCCUGGUGGACUUCGAGGACAAGGAGCAGGUGAAGGCCUUUCUGGAGAACGUGGUGGAGUGCAAGUACCAGUGCUACUGUGAGAAGGACCCGAAUGAUUCAUGAAAAGCUCUACUACUAUGAGAAGUAGAACCCUGUGCCCAUCCUCCACAGCACAGCAGUCUUGGCUGAUGAUGUAAGUGUGCCUUUCGGAGCUCCCUGCCACCCGGCUCCCUUGGGCCCGGUCCUGAGCAGAGCUCUUCCUGGCGCAGACACAAGUGUGAGAUCCUGGGAGUGAAAACCAGAAGCCGCUGCAAAUGUUUCCAAAAGUCCUGUCACCGAGGACCUUAUGCGGAUACUGUGCUGAUUUGCAUUCACUCUCCUGCUCAAAAAAUUGUGCGUGGGGAUGUCCUCUGUUCUACCUGGGUGGCUACAGUAGCAGAAGUCUGAGGCUAGAACUCUCUGGGCAGAGAGAAACUGUCAGCUACUAGUGUUCUGAGAAAGGCACAGGCAGGAGGAAUGCUUUGGAGAAAUAAAGACAAAUCAGCUAGGUCUGUUGCUGACAGUGCUAAAAACUGACAGAUACGCUAGUGUCGGAACGAGGCCUGAUGAAAUACAUAAAAAGACAGGAUUGUUUUCAAAAUGAAGUAUAAAGCAUCAUAAUGAUUUAUGGAUAUUAGACCUUUCCACAUUACCUUCAUAACCAAAGAAUAAGUGACAGAAGCAGUUAGCAUUGAUGGAGUAAUUUCCUGUAGCUAUCAUUUUAUUUUCAAUCUUGGAAUGAAUUACCUUGCUGUUCCUUGCCGUUCACUUUCAAACUCAGAUGAAUUGAAAGCACACCUGGAUAAACUGUAAAGGACACUGAGGCAGAGGAGAAAUAGGUCUCCUGUGAAGGUUGGUUUUUGUGAUCUCCUUGAGCUUAUCUGUUGCUUUCUAAAUGUUUUCCUUGUUUAUGAUUUAAAAAGGAAUGUAGUUCAGCUUAAAUAUCGGGGCCAUAUAAUUUUUAAAAAAUCAUCUUCAGAAGUUGAUUUUCUUAUAUGUGUUUUCUAUUUUAUUUUAUUUGUAAAAGAUUUUACUUAUUGAUUUGUGAGAGACACAGAGACACAGGCAGAGGGAGAAGCAGGCUCCCCAUAAAAAGCCCAAUGUGGGGCUGGAUCCUGGGCCAGAAUCAUGCCCUGAGCCAAAGUUAGACACUCAGCUUCUCAAUCACCCAGGUGUCCCUGUGUUUCCUAUUUUAAUUUAGAUAAUAAGGCAUAUGUCAUCAAUCUCGAAGUGAUUUGCUAUUUGGUUAGUCCCCCAGACUCCUUUCAGGUUUUAUCCACAGAUUAGAAAUUAUAGGGAUCUUUCACUUUAUGUGUUUUAUGCGGAUGCUUAUUCAUCUGCUCCUCUUGGUUCUUCAUUAGAGAACCAAACUUUUUGAAGUGAAGUUGAGUAAAGGUAUAGACAGAAUUCUAGUAAGGGGCAGUUGCCACUUGAGGAAGUCUUAAGAAAUCAC